UACGUAGGGGGCAAGCGUUGUCCGGAUUUAUUGGGCGUAAAGGGUGCGCAGGCGGUCUUUUAAGUCAGAUGUGAAAGCUCACGGCUCAACCGUGGUAAGCAUUUGAAACUGGAAGGCUUGAGUUAAGGAGAGGAAAGUGGAAUUCCUAGUGUAGCGGUGAAAUGCGUAGAUAUUAGGAGGAAUACCAGUGGCGAAGGCGACUUUCUGGACUUAUACUGACGCUGAGGCACGAAAGCGUGGGGAGCAAACAGGAUUAGAUACCC
rnacentral:rRNA from 1 species